AAAUUUUGUCUCAGAUGCCAUAGCCUAGCCGGGGUGAGGUACCCAGGACAUCUUGAAAUAGCCCUUAAAGAAGCAACAGAGGAUGCGUUGAUGGCUUAGACCACUUUUCUUAACUCACGUCUUUAGUCCAAAGUUUGCAGAGGGCCAGCUGAACCUGGAAAACGCGCGGGUUGAGGGGUGGUCCCUGUCGGUGAGCGCGCCCACAGGGAUCGUGGAGGGUUGGACAGCCAGGGUUCGUUUUAGUGAGAGGGUGGGAAAGAAGGAAACGAGGAAAAGGCAAGUGGCAACAGCUCAAGUCAAAAUCAAAGAAUCAAAUCCUGUGCUUCAAAUUAAAUACGUCCAUGGUACAGAGCGUCUGCUUGAGAGGCUUACAUGGAUUUGAUGGAGAACACCUGCUUUUCUUGGUCAUCUGCUAGAGAAAAAUCUGUUUCCUCUUGCCGUUGGAUUUGCAGCUCAUCAGAAGGGGCUGUCAGAUUUCUCCUUCUUCCCCCAACCAAGAUGUGGGAGAGUGACGCGUCUGCACGAAGAAAAGGACAACGUGGAGACCUGGGAAAGUGGGACCAUAGCACGCACUAUGGAUCGACAGAGAUUUGAGCUGGAAAACUAUUGGCCUAUAGCAAGGAUGCUAAAAG
rnacentral:lncRNA from 1 species